CAAGACCCUACAACUCUAUCCUACAGCUAGCUAACUCUAUAACAGCCUGGGAGACACGAGGACAGUUAACUAGCUCCUACAAGACCCUACAGCUCUAUCCUACAGCUAGCUAACUCUAUACCAGCCUGGGAGACAUGAGGACAGUUAACUAGCUCCUACAAGACCCUACAGCUCUAUCCUACAGCUAGCUGACUCUAUAACAGCCUGGGAGACAUGAGGACAGUUAACUAGCUCCUACAAGACCCUACAGCUCUAUCCUACAGCUAGCUAACUCUAUACCAGCCUGGGAGACAUGAGGACAGUUAACUAGCUCCUACAAGACCCUACAGCUCUAUCAUACAGCUAGCUGACUCUAUACCAGCCUGGGAGACAUGAGGACAGUUAACUAGCUCCUACAAGACCCUACAGCUCUAUCCUACAGCUAGCUGACUCUAUAACAGCCUGGGAGACAUGAGGACAGUUAACUAGCUCCUACAAGACCCUACAGCUCUAUCCUACAGAUAAGCUGACUCUAUAACAGCCUGGGAGACACGAGGACAGUUAACUAGCUCCUACAAGACCCUACAGCUCUAUCCUACAGCUAGCUAACUCUAUACCAGCCUGGGAGACAUGAGGACAGACAGUUAGCUCCUACAAGACCCUACAGCUCUAUCCUACAGCUAGCUAACUCUAUAACAGCCUGGGAGACAUGAGGACAGUUAACUAGCUCCUACAAGACCCUACAGCUCUAUCCUACAGCUAGCUGACUCUAUACCAGCCUGGGAGACAUGAGGACAGUUAACUAGCUCCUACAAGACCCUACAACUCUAUCCUACAGCUAGCUAACUCUAUACCAGCCUGGGAGACACGAGGACAGUUAACUAGCUCCUACAAGACCCUACAACUCUAUCCUACAGCUAGCUAACUCUAUACCAGCCUGGGAGACACGAGGACAGUAAAAUAGCCUGUAGCUUGUACAGGGACAACAGUUAGUUCCUGAGGGAAGAACAUCCGUUUGUAGCUAUUUUUAAAGGGUGGUUAACUCCUCUAGCUAUCUCUUCAAAAUAUUCUAUCUACCUUAGACAGAGAUGAGAUGCCAGAUGGAGUCAUUAUACAAAUCCCUAUAAGAACUGUGUGGUAUAAUAAAAAAAUACUGUCUAUCACUGGUAAUCGGUUAUAAGGAAUACCCAGUGAGUUCACUCUGAGAACCUCGCCGGGCGGUUACUGUAAACCUCCUUACUGUAAACCAUCCCUUCUACCAGCUUCUAAAUGUCACCAAAGGUCACUAAAAUUCAUUUUAAUCCUGACACUGUACCCUUGAGUUGGCCCAGAGUGACUGUACAGAGAAGUGACUUAAUCACAGGACAGACAGACUGCACAGGACAGACAGACUGCACGGGACAGACAGACUGCACGGGACAUACAGACUGCACAGGACAGACAGACUGCACAGGACAGACAGACUACACAGGACAGACAGACUACACAGGACAGACAGACUACACAGGACAGACAGACUACACAGGACAGACAGACUACACAGGACAGACUACACAGGACAGACUACACAGGACAGACAGACUACACAGGACAGACAGACUACACAGGACAGACAGACUACACAGGACAGACAGACUACACAGGACAGACUGCACAGGACAGACAGACUACACAGGACAGACAGACUACACAGGACAGACAGACUACACAGGACAGACAGACUACACAGGACAGACAGACUACACAGGACAGACAGACUACACAGGACAGACAGACUACACAGGACAGACAGACUACACAGGACAGACAGACUACACAGGACAGACAGACUACACAGGACAGACUACACAGGACAGACAGACUACACAGGACAGACAGACUACACAGCACAGACAGACUACACAGGACAGACAGACUACACAGGACAGACAGACUACACAGGACAGACAGACUACACAGGACAGACAGACUACACAGGACAGACAGACUACACAGGACAGACAGACUACACAGGACAGACAGACUACACAGGACAGACAGACUACACAGGACAGACUACACAGGACAGACAGACUACACAGGACAGACAGACUACACAGGACAGACAGACUACACAGGACAGACAGACUACACAGGACAGACAGACUACACAG